rnacentral:rRNA from 1 species
AGAUUGAACGCUGGCGGCAGGCCUAACACAUGCAAGUCGAGCGGCAGCACGGGUACUUGUACCUGGUGGCGAGCGGCGGACGGGUGAGUAAUGCCUAGGAAUCUGCCUGGUAGUGGGGGAUAACGCUCGGAAACGGACGCUAAUACCGCAUACGUCCUACGGGAGAAAGCAGGGGACCUUCGGGCCUUGCGCUAUCAGAUGAGCCUAGGUCGGAUUAGCUAGUUGGUGAGGUAAUGGCUCACCAAGGCGACGAUCCGUAACUGGUCUGAGAGGAUGAUCAGUCACACUGGAACUGAGACACGGUCCAGACUCCGUACGGGAGCAGCAGGUGGGGAAUAGUUGGACAAGUGGGGCAAAGCCUG